GAAGAAAAAAAAAAGCGUUAGAAAACGGGUUAUUACCGAUAGUGAUUUGCAAUACCUACUCACGAUAAUCGAUUUCAAACGUCGGAUCCGGUACGCCUGGUUGUGUAUCGGUAGCAACGGCGUCGAGCGUCGGCUUGCCUCCAAUUAUUCGGUUGUUAUUUUUUUACGCGGACGAUCGCAACGGCCGAUAAGCCGGACCGAGAGAAUAGUCCGACAAGAGGAC